CCCGAAGUAUCCUGAAUCUUUCGCAUUGUUAAUCAUACAAGUGCAUAUAAUAAACACAAAAAUCAAUGAUAAUCAUGCCAUUAUAUAAUUCCGAAAAAUUAACGCACUGUAUUCAUAUAAAUCUAUCAGCACUUUAUCAAAUUUAUGACUUUUAUUUUAUGUUAAAAUGCAAGCAUUUUAAUUUAAAUAAGCAAUUGACUAAAUUUUUGAUAAAUUAAUUGAUACUAAUAGAUUACAAUGUCCUUAUAUGGAAAAAAUG
rnacentral:rRNA from 1 species